GAGAGUUUUUAACUCAAGUGGCGGACGGGUGAGUAACACGUAAGAAUUUGCCUUUAGGAGGGGGACAACAACUGGAAACGGUUGCUAAUACCCCAUAUGCUUUCGAGUGAAAUGGAUUUUUCCGCCUAAAGAGAAGCUUGCGGCUGAUUAGCUUGUUGGUGAGGUAAUGGCUCACCAAGGCGACGAUCAGUAUCUGGUUUGAGAGGACGAUCAGACACACUGGAACUGAGACACGGUCCAGACUCCUACGGGAGGCAGUAGUGGGGAAUUUUCCGCAAUGGGCGAAAGCCUGACGGAGCAAUACCGCGUGAGGGAUGACGGCCUAUGGGUUGUAAACCUCUUUUUUCAGGGAGGAAUAAAAUGACGUGUACCUGAAGAAUAAGCAUCGGCUAACUCCGUGCCAGCAGCCGCGGUAAGACGGAGGAUGCAAGUGUUAUCCGGAAUCACUGGGCGUAAAGCGUCUGUAGGUGGUCCAAUAAGUCAACUGUUAAAUCUUGAGGCUCAACCUCAAAAUCGCAGUCGAAACUAUUAGACUAGAGUAUAGUAGGGGUAAAGGGAAUUUCCAGUGGAGCGGUGAAAUGCGUAGAUAUUGGAAAGAACACCGAUGGCGAAGGCACUUUACUGGGCUAUUACUAACACUGAGAGACGAAAGCUAGGGUAGCAAAUGGGAUUAGAUACCCCAGUAGUCCUAGCCGUAAACCAUGGAUACUAGAUGUUGGACAGAUCGACCUGUGCAGUAUCAAAGCUAACGCGUUAAGUAUCCCGCCUGGGAAGUAUGCUCGCAAGAGUGAAACUCAAAGG
rnacentral:rRNA from 1 species